GACGACGCUUGCGGCGUGCCUAAGAAAUGCAAGUCGAGCGAGGUCAGCAAUGGCCUAGCGGCGAACGGUCGCGUAACACGUAAGCAACCUGCCCCCAAGACCGGGAUAACAGCCCGAAAGGGCUGCUAAUACCGGAUGUGGUUGUUGCUGGGCAUCCAGUGGCAAAGAAAGCAGCACGAAAGUGACUGGCUUGGGGAGGGGCUUGCGGCCUAUCAGCUAGUUGGUGGGGUAACGGCCUACCAAGGCAUCGACGGGUAGCUGGUCUGAGAGGAUGAUCAGCCACACUGGGACUGAGACACGGCCCAGACUCCUACGGGAGGCAGCAGUGGGGAAUAUUGGACAAUGGGCGAAAGCCUGAUGCAGCGACGCCGCGUGAGCGAAGAAGGCCUUCGGGUUGUAAAGCUCUGUCUGGAGGGACGAACAAAAUGACGGUACCUCCGGAGGAAGCCACGGCUAACUACGUG
rnacentral:rRNA from 1 species